AAAUAAGUCAUGUGCAGUGUGCAUAGGAAUUUGUUCAUUUUUUUUUUCCAAAUGAUAAUUCGGCCCCUCAACAAUCUGAGGGACCAUAAACUGGCCCUCCACUUUAAAAGUUUGAGGACCCCUGCUCUACUGUAAUCUCUAUACCUCUACUGUAGAAAAAAAGGAGGAGCUCUAUACAGGCAAAUGGAAUGGACCAAGUAAGGCUGGCCUUUAGGGGGAUUUUAUGCUCUACCCCAAAAACUAAUACAAAUGGAGGUGUCUACACUAUUGGGGAAACCUAAACAGAAGGAACUAAAGCAAAGGAGAGCCAAGACUUCACAGAUCCCACAGAGUCUUCCUCAGAAAAACCAGGAGACCCAAGAAAACUACAGUACACUGAGAUACAGGACAAGGUACAUGAAAAGUAUGAAUGACUCAUUUUAUACUGGGUUUGUUUUGGACAGCUGGAAUGCGGUAGCUUGA
rnacentral:lncRNA from 11 species